UGCAGUAAAAAAAGGCAGAGUAGCUCCUUUCUUUUGUACAAGGCUGUUUAUAGUUGCAAGAUCUUUGCACCUGAUAAAUACUGGAGCUUGCAAACACUUUUGCACGCCGUAUAUGUAAAGUAAGAGAUAAGAUCUCCAUGGUUUUGUCUUUGUGAUGGUGGAAUGGUGUGUGUGUGUGUGUGUGUGUGUGUGUGUAAGGAUGGAGGGGGAGGCGGGGGGGGGUCUGGCUGGUUGCUGCAAUAUCUUGUCAGCCAUUUAAGUUGUGCACGUUCCCAUCAACCUGUUUUGGAGUGCAAAAAAAGCUUGGCACCAUUUCAACAAAACAAACAUAUUGCAAUGCUGUAUCCAUCCAGCCAAUUAGACAACUACCAGCAAAGUGUUGAGUCAAAAUGUCAGUAACGGUUCAUUUGCCCAAAAGGUCAGACUGUGUCUCAUCAGCGUCACAUUAAGGGCCAGGUUGGACACACAAUCCCUAUUAGUUGUCGCUAUACCCGCACUUUUCCUGAGACAUUUACUUGAUUAUUUCAUAAAUAAUUAAUGUGUUGUGAUUGCUGUCAAAAUGCCUGCAGCUCGGUGUCACAUAAAUGUAACCUGCGGGGUUAACUGUUCAGUUUAAAAGUUCAGGUGACAAAGACUUUGUUGAUAUAAAUGACUCUGGUUUGGAAAAAAAAAAAGAGAGGGAAUCCUGCAAGUGCACAGUCACAUCCAUCAGGCGUCCACACACCAACAGGCGCGCAAUCCGCUUAUACAGUCAUCACCUCUAAUGUAUAAAGCAAUAAUAACAAAAACACAAUCAUGCAUGUAAAAAGAGAAAAUGCACAAUUCAAGACUAUGUGAGACUGAAAUAAUUAGUUUGUAGGUAGGAAUUCCCCUCGUGCGCACUGGAACAUCUGUGCGUAAAAAUGGAAUUUGGAACAUUCUUGAACAGAAUCAUGGUAAUCUAUUAAAGAAUGUUCCAAAAUGCGCGGACAGAAAUAAUAAUUAUCAGUGUGGGGGAAUGUUAUGUGUUUUCUUAAACCUUUUAUGAUCUUAUGAAGUGUUGUUUUUUUUUUGUAAAAACUGAAACUCACGCUGCUGUUGUGUCCGGACCAGUGCACCAUCGCCUGGUUGUGCGCAGAGUCUCCCGAUAGAGCAAAAGUAGAAGUGUCCAGUGUAGAUCAUUAGCAAGAUUAUCAGAUGUAAUCAUCUCAUUCUGGUGGCGCAUAACUCAAGACAGUCCCCGCAAACCGCACCAUCCUCUCUCCUGUUUCUACUGAAGACAGGGAGCAAACUCGAAAGCUUUCAGGACAAAAUCCCAUUUGUGCUUCCGCUGUCUGCAUCCCAAGCUUGUUAGUUCCAACACUUCAGUGAUCCCGGCGGAGCAGACGCAUAGGCAGUAGCAGGAACCAUAAUGGCCAUCACCCAGACAGCUCACACUCGCAUGUAGGAGAUGAACAGCAAGGUGCACACUCCACUCGGCGAUACCCCGUGCCAUUAAAAAAAGAAAGUCUCUUUUAUUGCAGAUGGCAACACUUAUUUUGUACCUCCUUCAUCGUCUAGAUGAAAUAAAGGCAUUUUAAAAUCACAGUGGGAGGAGUAGUUUAGGACAGUUUGCCACGACAAUAAACUGGCCCUGUCAUUGGAAAAUACAACUCUGCUCAUUGGUGAAUCACUGGAUUACUAUUAUCUCUUUGAUGUCUUUGUUCUUGAGCCUUUUCCCUGUACACGACGAACACGGGGACGCGCCUGUCGAGAUAUCAAUGCAAUUUGCUUGAUAUCCCACAGCUGCAGCUCAUCUUUCACACACAACUGUAAUGUAACAGUUUGCAGGAUUUUCUGACAUGUGCUGGAGUUGGAAGUUUCGAUACAGUACUAAGUUUGCAUAUUCUCUCAGUGCUACUCCAACAGGC